rnacentral:rRNA from 1 species
GACGAACCGUGCGAACGUUGUUCGGAAUCACUGGGCUUAAAGGGCGCGUAGGCGGCCUGCCAAGUCAGGGGUGAAAGCCCCCAGCUCAACUGGGGAAGUGCCUUUGAUACUGGCGGGCUCGAGCGAGGCAGGGGUCGUGGGAACUUCCGGUGUAGCGGUGAAAUGCGUAGAUAUCGGAAGGAACAUCAGUGGCGAAAGCGACUUCCUGGACCAAUACUGACGCUCAUGUGCGAAAGCGUGGGGAGCAAACAGG